CUCUUAACGACAACGGAGGCAUGUUGUUUAAGAUAGAUUUCUUCACCAGAUGCAUGAUUAUUUUUCAAGCUGAGUCUAUGUACAAAUAUAACUUUGUUUUUUAGCCAGAUCAUUGCAAAUUGAGAUGAUUUUUAAUAAAAGAUGUGAGCUAAUUAUGAUCAUUUUCACGAAGGAGUACCUUAACUUCAGUCUGUCCAAGAUCAAUAUAUGCUCUUCUUAAAACUACUUUGUUUUCCUAAAAAAAAACCUAGGAAAUCGUUCACUGCUCAGAUGUUAAAGAGGACAAACAAAAACCUUUUAUAAGCCUGCAGCUACCCCAGCAGAGCUUCACAAGUGCUCACAGCCUCCACUGAAUGUGCUGCUUGUCCGUGUCUAUCUUUCCUUGGGAAGGAGACACAGCAGUCCCUCAGAGCACCGCUUCCUUGUGAUCUCAGGCUGUGAUGCAUGAAAGCAUACAGGAGAUUAAGGCCCACAACAUUUCUGUACUGGCUUAAGGAGGCUGGAUGGUUCCAGAGGGGCAACCAAGCCAGUCUUUUUUGCU